GGGCUCGUGGCGCAGUGGCUAGCGCGUGUGAUUCCAGUUUUCGGUAUAUCCACAAGGUCAUCCGUUCAAAUCGGGUCGAGCUCA